AGCACGCAGGCAGGCUUUGAAGAGACAUGUUUCCUGGUUAGACAAGGUGAAAUUCAGAGGGCAGAGGGCCCCUAAGCCUUCUGCCAUAAGCUGCAGAGGAAAUCUGCACUUAGAUCACAAAUGAUCUGGAAAAAGGGGUAAAGAGUGAGGUGGCAAAGUUAGCUGGUGAUACAAAAUGACUCAAGAUAGCCUGACUUUUCUCCAUCACCUACGCUACAGCAUGUGAGGAGGGUUAGCAGCAGGACAGGGGACUGUACAGGGAGAAAGGCAGGCACGGCUGGUCUGAGGGAUGCUUGGCAGCAGCAGCAGGCCUGGAAGAGAAGCAGCUUGCUGCUUGCAGUGGUUCUGGUUGUUGUGAAUACAGGCAUGUUCGAAAGGAGUGAUGGGCAGACUUCUUGUUCCAAGCCACUGGACCUUGUUACACAUCUGAUGCAUAAUCCAGAUCUCCCCUCCUUGAGGAGACAGGAGUGGAGAUAAAGCACCAUGUCCCUUUUGCUCCUUUGAAUAAAACUCAUUCUUCA